GGGCCCGUGGCCAAGUAUGGAUCAAGGCGUCAGCCUGCGGAGCUGAAGACCGUGGGUUCAAAUCCCACCGGGCCCG
rnacentral:tRNA from 1 species